AGGAGGGGUUUAUGUCAAAGCAUAUAAUUCUUGAACUUUUCAGAAAAUAGAUUUUCAUGCUAAUCUGAGUUCUACAAAGAUUUUAAUAAAUGGGAUAAAAUUUUGGAUAUGCAGAUGACUUUCCUCUCUGGCUUCCUUCUUUCAUUAUCAGCUUGAAAAUACAAGAAACCCAUUGGUUUCCCGCCCGCGUCCCCCAUAAGUAGUUCUCUUUAAAUGCUGCUUAUCCUCAGAAAAGGGCUACUUGGGUAAAUUCUAGCAGGUAAACAUAUUAAUUCCCAGUACUGGGUGCAGAGAUGGGAGGUUGAAGGAGGUGGUAAAAGCCCUCUCUCCAGAGAGUGGUAUAAACAGAUUGAAGUGCAAUCUCCAUGGAUUGGACUUUAUGGAUGUGGAGACAGAGAGGGGGAUAAACCCACAGCAUCCAUCCAAUGGGCCACUGCUUAGAGAAUGAGAACCCGCAUUCUUUUCCGUACCAUUCUUUAUACUGUGACCUGCAGGUCCUUCCUCAGUAGAAAAACCUGAAAAUGGAGAGUUUAAGUGGAAAGCAAGAUAACCCUGACCUCUAAUAAAGGGGGUCCUGAGGAAGGAAAGAACCAAGAGCAAAGUCAAAGGUGCCUCAAAGACCCUCAGGAAAAACCAGUUUCGCCACUCUCCAAGGCCACUGGAAAGGUGGAGGAGAUAAGCUGAAUCUCCCCAGGCAGCUUGGGAAAAAAAGGAGCCCAGAAAUAGGGCUGAGUCUAUUUGUAAAGUGGAGGUGGAGCCAAGUUAACACUGCAGGUCUCCUGCCCCGAAGAGAGGUCUAGUGACAGGUCACUUUCCUCAGGGACUAUUCCCAUGGGCUGUAUUUAUUACUGUCCCAAGGAAUCCAAUGGAAGUCAGCAAUACAAAAACUAAUCUCAUCCCCAAUUACAUAUCUGUGUUUUAGAUGCACUGUAAUGUGACAAAUCUGUUAGGGUUUGUGAAUGCGGUUUUUUUUCCUUGCACAUUGGUGCAUUGUUGCAGGGGUGGUUUGUGCAAGCCGUGGGACUGGUGCCCAGAAGAGGAUCAAAUGGAGGAGAGAUGAGGAUCUCGUAGGAGAAUGAAUUUGAUUUCGGGAGGUAGGUUUGGCUUUUGGAAAGGAAACUUAGAUCCAUUUGUCUGAAGAACUUAAAGGAGGCAGUCUACAAGAUCAACAUUAGGGUGGCCACUGUGACACUCUUCUUUUUAGCUCUUGCACUUCUUUCUUAGAAAAGUCAACAGGAAAAAUA
rnacentral:lncRNA from 10 species